GAUGAACGCUAGCGAUAGGCUUAACACAUGCAAGUCGAGGGACCGGCGCACGGGUGCGUAACGCGUAUGCAACUUGCCUCACAGAGGGGGAUAACCCGUCGAAAGACGGACUAAUACCGCGUACUGUGAGAUAGGCAUGCGUCCCAUUAGCUAGUUGGUGAGGUAACGGCUCACCAAGGCAACGAUGGGUAGGGGAACGGAGAGGGUGAACCCCCAAACUGGUAACGAGACACGGACCAGACUCCGACGGGAGGGAGAAGUGGGGAAUAUUGGUUAAAUGGGGAGAGCCUGAACCAGCCAAGUCGAGUGAAGGAUGACUGUCUAUGGAUUGUAAACUUCUUUUGUAGGGGAAUAUGUACCCUACGAAUAAGCAUCGGCUAACUCCGUGCCAGCAGCCGCGGUAAUUC
rnacentral:rRNA from 1 species